CGCCCCGGUACCGCCUGGCGUCGCCCUGACCCGCCGCGGGCCGUUUCUCCUUCGCCGAGGCCUCCGUCCAGCCGAACUGGGGAGCGGGUGGGAGAGCAACGGUGAAGGAGGGCCGGCGGUCGGCGGAGGCGGGGGAAAGAAGAGGCGAGUCGGCGCCGAAGCUGAUCAUGGGCACGUCCGGUUCGGGGAAGCGGUAGCCGGAGCCGGUGGCGACGGGCGGCGGCAGGGAGAAGGCGGAGGAGGGGGGAGUCGGGGGGAGGUCGGCGAAGAGGUGCUCGCGGAUGAAGUCGAGGGUGGGAUCGCCAAAGCCGCCGAUCCCCGACGCCAUGAGUCAAGAACGAAUCUACCGAAGAGAAGAACACGAUAGAGGCGCAAGAAGGAAAGCGCGACGGAU
rnacentral:lncRNA from 1 species